rnacentral:rRNA from 1 species
CACGUAGGGCGCGAGCGUUGUCCGGAAUUAUUGGGCGUAAAGAGCUCGUAGGCGGCCUGUUGCGUCCGCUGUGAAAGCCCGGGGCUUAACCCCCGGGUCUGCAGUGGAUACGGGCAGGCUAGAGGUAGGUAGGGGAGAAUGGAAUUCCCGGUGUAGCGGUGAAAUGCGCAGAUAUCGGGAGGAACACCGGUGGCGAAGGCGGGUCUCUGGGCAGUAACUGACGCUGAGGAGCGAAAGCGUGGGGGGCGAACAGG